rnacentral:rRNA from 1 species
AACGAACGCUGGCGGCAGGCCUAACACAUGCAAGUCGAACGCCGUAGCAAUACGGAGUGGCAGACGGGUGAGUAACGCGUGGGAACCUUCCCAAUGGUACGGAAUAGCUCAGGGAAACUUGUGGUAAUACCGUAUACGCCCGAGAGGGGAAAGAUUUAUCGCCAUUGGAUGGGCCCGCGUAGGAUUAGCUAGUUGGUGAGGUAAUGGCUCACCAAGGCGACGAUCCUUAGCUGGUCUGAGAGGACGACCAGCCACACUGGGACUGAGACACGGCCCAGACUCCUACGGGAGGCAGCAGUGGGGAAUAUUGGACAAUGGGCGCAAGCCUGAUCCAGCCAUGCCGCGUGAGUGAUGAAGGCCUUAGGGUUGUAAUGCUCUUUUAGCGGGGAAGAUAAUGACGGUACCCGCAGAAUAAGCCCCGGCUAACUUCGUGCCAGCCGCCGCAGUAACAC